CUCCAGAUUGCUCAGCAGAAGGACAACCUGGAUUUGGCCACAUCAGCCAAAGGCUGCUCCUUUGCCUCAUGUUCAUAAGCAAACCCAUCUAGCUGGUGGCUGAAGAGCUUUGGCCAUGGACUGUCCUCCCCACCCCCAGUGCCCCAAGGCAGCUACAAUUCCCUGGAGAAAUCACAGAAUCACAGCAUUGUAAGGGUUGCAAGGGAUGUCUGCAGAUCAUCUAGUCCAGUCCCCUGCUAAAGCAGGUUUCCUACAGUGAUUCUCAGUUCUUUAGAACAGAGGCACUGCUGAGAGGCACAGACAUACGCAAGUGCUGUACCAUCCACUUCAUUGCACAAACACACAGCCCAGCUCUCCAGUGGCAGGCGAUGUGCAGAGAGCAUGAGCUGUGCUUCAGAAGGGAAAAUCAGUGCCUGUGAUCAGCUGCUUGCCCAAGCAAACUGUGAGAUCCCCUUGCAUUCAGGAAAGAGGCCUGAAAACACCAAACCAUCGUGUUGAGUCUGCCUUUACCACUUCAGUGCUCUGAUACCUGAAAGUAUAUUUAGCAGAUUUCCACACCAGUGCUCAACAGCCAUACAGACAUGUAAAAAAUAAUAAUCUUCAGUGCUUGACAUCCAUCUCAAAUCCAGAGUUUACAGAAGUAAGUUUCACAUGUGAUAGCUCUGAGUGUUCGAUGGGUUUAAUGACUUCCUGAGAUCCAACCACCAGGUUGGAGGUGCAGGGAGAGCAGUGCUCAGGACUCUCUUGUUGAUGCUCCCUGCAAGGAGGAAAGACACCUCUUUUGCAGGAGUCGUGAUACAUCACCCUGAAGUCUUCUGAAAGCUUAUUUGUCUCUCAGCUCUUGCAGUGGACAGGCCUUCAAAAGAGGGAUGAAGUACACUGAAAUCCAAACAGCUGAAAUGUGAUUUUAGAAGUCUAAUCCCCUGCACUGAUGACCAGUCUUUUUCCAGAGAAUGAUUAAUGAGAUACUUCAGGACUGGCAGAUUCAAUCCCACAGAAAAAUGACAGAUUUUCUUUGUAUAAUGUUCUACAUGUACAGAUCAAAUUAGGGACAAGAUCUGCACAAAUUCUUCAGGCUGAGCAGUAUUCACUUGAGCGGUGCCAUCAAAGACACUAUGGCCAUGAAAUACAAAUAGAAUUCAGUGCUACUGUUAUGAUUAAGAUAUUAUCUUACAGAUACUGUCUUUUUAAAGAGCUCAUGAACCCACAGACAAUAGCGAAGAUUGGACAAACCUCACAGCUUGGAACUGAUGCGAUCUCAACAUUCAUGCCUUCAGGGAAGGCAGAUAGAAAACCACCUUCAGCCACCUGCAGGCUGAAUUUCCUAGCACAGAUUGUACAAGACUUGGAAAUACUUGGGACAUUUCCCUCAGGUAUUAGUAGCAGCAGUUUCUAAGGCACUGGUCUGUUUCUGUCUCUAAAAAAUUAAUGGAUUGUGUGUAGGGUGUUAAGACACUACGUGGAGAGUGGCUAUACUGGACGUACACUUUAGAUUUAUGACUACAGAUGGCUUUCAAGAGUUCACUUUAAAAAGAAAGACACUGCAAGUCAUAUGUCUGAGUUUCAGGGAACAGCUGGUUGACUAUGUAGCAGAUACUUCUGUUAGUGUACACCACUUACAUAAAUGUUAUAGACAUAACAGUUAAUUCCUUUUACCACUUCAGUGGCUCGGUUAUUACUGAAAGGGCUAUAGCUAUCACCUAACAAUUUUCUUUGAGGAGACCAGUUAUUUCCUCACCAAGUGCACUU
rnacentral:lncRNA from 7 species